GGAGACAUAACAUGAAAAACCCACUUUUUUAUCCAUUAACACGGUGUGUUUCACAUUUUAAGUGUCUAAGUGAGCAAAAAGGCUUAUAUUAUUCACUGGAGUUGCUAUUUAGAUAUUUAAUAAUUAAGUUUUGGGCAUAUUUGUCCACCCGUUCAGUUUUUACAUUAUCUAUUACAUCAGUAAUUAAUUUAGUGAGGAUAACUACCAAAUAUGGUAAUGGCCCUCGGCUAAACACAGAGCCAAUCCGCCAUUUUUUCUUCUCGCUAAGAUUUUUUGUAGUCCUAUUGGAAAAAUGCAGAAUGUCUGGUUAUUUUAGCCACACACAGCUCAAAACUGUUCCUCGUUUUAAGGAAGGGUGGUGUGGCAGUAUUUAAACCCAGGAGCUGAUGACACUACUGCUAAAAAAACAAAGAAGAAAAAGUAGUGUGUGUGUGUUUGUGUGUGUGUGUGUGUGUGUGUGUGUGUGUGUGUGUGUGUGUGUGUGUGUGUGUGUGUGUGUGUGUGUGUGUGUGUGUGUGUGUGUGUGUGUGGUUCGUUCGUUCUGUCUCCAGGCUAGUGGCUAAGUACUGAGGGCUUCAUCUAUCUAAAAGGAGUUAUUUCCAUCUGAAUGUGGCAGCACCGGGACACAGCAGCAGAGCGAGUCCACAUCCAGAAGACUGGAGCCGUGUUUCACUGACAGGCUGUCAGCCUAACGCCCUGAUGAGCUCAGCUGGGACAAACUGGUCUGAUGUUUAGGAACACAGAACGUUCAGAUGUUGGCGUUUCACCUCACCUACUGAGGAAGGAGACCCACCAGUAAAGAGACGGUAGCUGGACCAGACCAAAAAUAUGGCGAUGACAUCAUGGAACUGGUCUUUGGAAAAGUUUUCCCUGAACCAACUCCGUUUCUAGAUGAGGUAGAGAAGAUCUGCAUCUCACCAACCCUCUGGUCUCAGUAUUCAGACAACGGAGGUCUCCCACUGUUGUCCAGGACCAGUUUGAAGCCCACAUACUGCCCCUCCCUCAUCAUCAGGAAACAUCAAUCCGUAUCCUGAGGACAACAGAAGACGGCAGGAGGACAGGAACUCUGAGACCUAGAUACCACCAGCACUGGGACACAAAGCACCUGUGUGCACAACGCCUGUUUUAACUACUAAAGCCUGUUUAUUAUAUUGUUCUACUUAUUUGCUGUGAGGUUAAUACUUAGAAAAUUUGUAUAUUAAUGUAAACAAUAAAAAAAAUCACUGAUUGUAUGCUUUCUUUUAGAUGUAAUGGUCCAAACUCAGCCUUGUAGACAUUUAUUGCAUCCUGUAGGUAAAUACACAGAACAGGCUCAGGUCCAGGAUGACCCAGCAUGCUCUUCUUCCAUUCUGGCUGUUAGGGGUUGUAUCAAUAACUCAAUGCCUACUGAUGUUUCCACCUAACGGUAUUUAUUUAGAAUGCAGGUCAGAUUUAACUAUAUUUGUUAGCAAAGCAGACUGAUCUUGGGAAUUUCACUGCAGCACUGAUGUCCACCUCUCUGUACACAUUAGAGAGAAUUACCACUUUACAGCUAAACACAUAUUUAAUAAAGAUAUAGGCUACGCAUUGCAGACAAUAAAAACAAAGUUGUAAGCAUUAGAAUUAUAAUGAUGACAUUAAAGAACACUUGGAGGAAUGUUCUUUAUUUUUGACUAGAAUCUCAAAUCUUUAAAUUAAAAUGUAACUGCUUUUUAUCCAUUUUCAGCCAUUAAGACACCCAAUAUAAAAUAAGACUACUUAUAAAAUUAUUUAUAAUUAUAUGUAUGUAUAUAGAUAGAGAUCUUAAUAAAAUAUAUUCUUUGAA